UGACAUCCCUUAAGGUUAUAAACAGGCAGC
rnacentral:piRNA from 1 species